AUGGGAUGGAGCUGGAUUAUCCUCUUCCUGGUGACAGCAGCUACGGGUGUCCACUCCCAGGUCCAGCUGCAGCAGUCUGGGGCUGUGCUGGUGAAGCCUGGGUCCUCAGUGAAGGUGUCCUGCAAGGCUUCAGGCUUCACCUUCACCAGCAUCUAUAUCAGCUGGGUGAAGCAGAAGCCUGGACAUGGCCUGGAGAGGAUUGGAAUUGACCGGAUCUCUGUGUCUGCAAGUGAUGAGGGCGAGGUGCAGCUUGUGGAGUCAGAGGGUGACCUGGUGCUGGCUGGGGCAUCUCUGAGACUCUCCUGUGCAGUCUCUGGAUUCACCUUCAGUAGCUACUGA